CCUACGGGAGGCAGCAGUGAGGAAUAUUGGUCAAUGGCCGCAAGCCUGAACCAGCCAAGCAGCGUGAAGGACGAAGGCCCUACGGUUUGUAAACUUCUUUUAUAAAGGGACAAAGUCAGGCACGAGAGCCUUUUCGUGGGUACUUUAUGAAAAAGCAUCGGCUAACUCCGUGCCAGCAGCCGCGGUAAUACGGAGGAUCCGAGCGUUAUCCGGAUUUAUUGGGUUUAAAGGGAGCGUAGGUGGGGUGUUAAGUCAGGUGUGAAAGGUUGCGGCUCAACCCUAGCAGGGCAAUUGAUACUGGCAGUCUUGAGAACAGGAGAGGUAGGCGGAAUGCGUGGUGUAGCGGUGAAAUGCUUAGAUAUCGCGAAGAACUCCGAUUGCGAAGGCAGCUUACCGACCUGGAACUGACGUUGAUGCUCGAAAGUGUGGGUAUCAAACAGGAUUAGAUACCCUAGUAGUC
rnacentral:rRNA from 1 species